rnacentral:rRNA from 1 species
CAAUAGCGUAUAUUUAAGUUGUUGCAGUUAAAAAGCUCGUAGUCGGAUUUUGGCUGAGAACGAUCGGUCCGCCGUUAGGUGUGCACUGAUUGGUCUCAGCUUCCUGGUGAGGAGGUGUGCUUCACGGCCACUUAGUCACCGUGGUUACUUUGAAAAAAUUAGAGUGUCCAAAGCGGGCUUACGCUUGAAUAUAUUAGCAUGGAAUAACACCAUAGGACUCCUGUCCUAUUUCGUUGGUCUCGGGACGGGAGUAUGAUUAAGAGGAACAGUUGGGGGCAUUCGUAUUUCAUUGUCAGAGGUGAAAUUCUUGGAUUUAUGAAAGACGAACUUCUGCGAAAGCAUUUGCCAAGGAUGUUUUCAUUGA